rnacentral:rRNA from 1 species
UACGAAGGGGGCGAGCGUUGUUCGGAAUUACUGGGCGUAAAGCGUGCGCAGGCGGUUAUGCAAGUCAGAUGUGAAAUCCCCGGGCUCAACCUGGGAACUGCAUUUGUGACUGCAUAGCUAGAGUACGGUAGAGGGGGAUGGAAUUCCGCGUGUAGCAGUGAAAUGCGUAGAUAUGCGGAGGAACACCGAUGGCGAAGGCAAUCCCCUGGACCUGUACUGACGCUCAUGCACGAAAGCGUGGGGAGCAAACAGG